UCAUUGGCUUUUCUAAAAGCCAAUCAUAAUUAUAUGGAACAAUUAA
rfam:Rattus norvegicus chromosome 20, whole genome shotgun sequence.